UCUUUGGUGGUUCAGUGGCUAAGACUCUGCACUCCCAAUGCAAGGGGCCCAGGUUCGAUCCCUGGUCAGGGAA
rnacentral:tRNA from 1 species